AUAGGCAACUUGCUGGCCGUCACACAGCUUGAAAUUUAAAGCUAUAUAGUUGACUCUUGAAUUCUACUGUACUCACUGUGACACAAUGACCCUUAUUGUGACUACCUACCAGCCGCUUUCAUCAUGAAACACUCUAUCUGCCCUCUCUUGUCACACUCACAGCAAUCCUGUGAGCUAAGUAUUCUUAUUCCCAUCUCCUUGAUGGGGUUGAAACAUAAGUCAGUUGAUGCACUGAGCCAAGAUCACACAAGUGCAACUUUAGUCCAAGUCUGUCAGUUCGAAGCCAGAACCCUUAAAACUUCUCUGCCACUAGAUGCAGAGACAGAAGAAAGCCAUGUGCGGAGGAGAACCCAGCCCUCACCAGACACCACAUCUGCCAACACCUUGAUCUUGGAUUUCCCUUCUCUACAACAGGAUUCUGUAUCUGCUGCUUAACUUGUGAUAUCUACGGCAUUCUCUACAGCAGCUGGAAAGGCUAAGUCGCGUGCUCUGAGGGAAGAUGAGCAAAGUAAAAUUUCUUACAAGUCUUUCAGACAACUGUGAAAUGCCAGCUCUUCCAAUUGUACUCCCUGCCUACAGCACAAAUGUAACCUGAAAUACACAAAAGGGAGAGAGGAAAGAUUCAAAGUAUUCCAGAACCACGAAAAAGAAUCCUCGGUCUGCCAUUUUUAGGCAGUAUGAAAUUUGGCCAUGUCACUUAAGCCUCAAUACUUUUUCUCUGAGAAAAGUAGCAGCUCUCCUCAGAGGUUUAUUCACAAGAACUAUUUUUAAAACAUCAUUAUGGAGGCUGAGGAGACAGUUCUGCAAUUAACAGCACCUACUGCUCCUGCAGAAGACCUGAGUUCAGUUCCCACACCCACGUUGAAGGGUUCACAACACCCUAUAGCUCUGGCUCCAGGGGAGCUGAGAUCUCUUGGCUUCUCUGGGCACUUGAGUUCAAGUAUGCAUACCCAUCCAGAGACACACAUACACAUAACUCCAAAUAUACAACAUGAUUAUGAGGAAAUGCAUCUAGUAAAGAUAUAAUUUGAAAAGGAAGAAAGCAUUCCAGUUUCAAGAUAACCAUGGCUUACUUGUGGACAAAAGAAAAGACAGGACCAUGGGAAUAAUCACCUGUGGGUUUCAAUCACACCUGAGGUUUGGGAAAGUUGGGGGGAGGGUUGGAUUUUUUUAUUACUUUUUUGAGACAGGAUUUCUCAUUGUAGCCUUGGCUGUUACUGAACUCACUCUGUAGACCAGACUGACCUCAAACUCAGAGAUCCACCUGCCUCUGCCUCCCAAGUGCUGGUAUGAAAAGCACAAGCCACCACUGCCGACCUAACAUCUGAGUAAUUUUAAGAAAUAUCUGAAGCAAGAAUAUUACUAUUUAUCUGAGCGAUAAGUUCCUGAGAGUACUUUUACUUUCCUCUGUAUGAGAUGUCUAACAAUAUCAAGAUCAAAUAGGGGCUAUUUGAUCAGAGGUUGAGAGUAUAGGCUCUGAUUUAAAAACCCUCCUGCAAAGUAAAGGAAAUAAUGAACAAAAUUAGAUUGCAACUUGGAGACUGAAAAUAAUUGUAAACUCUUUGUCUAAUAAGGGGCAAAUGCCAAAAAUAAUAAAGGACUCGUGUGAUCCAGUGGUAUGAAAGCAAACAAUCUCUUUAAAACAUAGAACAUUUCUGCAGAGAAUAUACAAAAUGGCCAAGGAGAAUAUGAAAAGUUCCUGGGCAUUAUUAGUCAUCAGGGUAAAGCAAAUCAAAACCACAAGACACUGCCCCAUGAUUACUAAGAAGGACACUUGCAAACAGUCAAGAGAUAAGAAAUGAAUGUUAACAAGGAAACAAAGUAACUGUUGGUAGGAAGUAUACUGUUGGUACUCAUCUCUAUGAAAACAACUACUAUGAAAAGAAAAGUCCUAAGGUUACUAAAGAACUUAAAAAUAGAACUUCCACACGACCAACAAGCUCUCUUGUAGGCAUCUACCCUUAGGAAAUGACAUCAUCAGUUCUUAAAGAUGACUGUGCUUCCAAGCUCACAAUAGUCUGCAGCUCUGUUCAUAAAAGUUGAGAGAAAAAGGCAAAGGAAGCCCUGAUCAGUGACUGAACAAAGAAGUGGAGGUUAUCAAUCGUGGUAUCCAAGCAGAACACCACUCGGCCUUUGAAAGAAAAAGAGACUCUGCCAGCUGACAUAACCCGGAUGGUGUUCUAAGUCAAAUAAGCACAUACCAGAGAAGAAAAUACUGUCUGAUCUCAUCUACCUUCAGCAUCUUAGAACAGAAAAAGCCAGAGGGUCAGGGAGUUUGCUCUGAGAUGGUGUCUCCUAGUAACAUCAAAAAUUAAAUCUCCAUAAAGUCUCACCAACAUGACAGCCCAAAUGGGAGCUGAACAAGGAGGACACAAUGGACAUACCCAAGUGGACAAGAACAAGCCCACAGAGACCACCACCUUACACAAUGAAAUACAGACAACGAGAAAAGCUUCCAGUGGGAGGGUUGGUCUUCCCAGAGUAGAGUAUACCAAUUGGCCAGUGCCAAAGGAUCAGUCCAGAAAACAUACACACCAGAAACAUUAUAUGAAUGAUACAGGUUAUAUUCAGGAAUAUACAUAUACACACAGACACAUAAACACACACACACACACACACACACACACACACACAUAUAUAUAUAUAUAUAUUCACACAUACAUUACAUAUACACAUACACACACAUACAUACACACACAUAUAUAUACACACACAUACAUUACAUAUACACACAUAUAUAUACAUACAUACACAUACAUUACAUAUACACAUGCACACAUACAUGUAUAUGCAUACAAUAGCAACACUUUUAGUGAGAAAAGAGGCCUCAGGUUUGAAGAAGAAUGGGAAGAGUUAUAUGGGGAUGAGUAGAGAGAAGAGAGAAAUGUAAUUAAAUUAUAAUCUCAAAAAUAAAGAACUAUGAAUGCUUAAUAUGUAGAGUUAGAAAACAAGACCAUGGUAGUGGAAGGGGUGGGGGCAUAGAGGAAAUGUGAAAUACAGGUCAGAAGUUACAAAGCAGUACAUACGUAAGCUGAAGAAGUCAAGAAGACUAUGUGCAGCAGGUGGACAUAACAAUAACAAGGGGCUGGAGAGAUGGCUCAGGGGUUAAGAGCACUGAUUGCUCUUCCAGAGGGCCUGAGUUCAAAUCCCAGCAACCACAUGGUGGCUCACAACCAUCUAUAAGAUCUGAUGCCCUCUUCUGGUGUGACUGAAGACAGUGAUGGUGUACUCACAUACAUAAAAUAAAUAAAAUCAAAGAGGAGGAGAAGGAGGAAGGAAGGAAGGAAGGAAGGAAGAAAGGAAGGAAGAAUAACAUCAUGUUGUGUACCUCAACUAUAUAUAAAAUGUAUGUAUUUAAAACUGAGUGUGUAGUCAAAGCUUGGCUUAGAAUGAAGAUUUGAGUCCUGCUAUCUGAAUGAUCAUUUACAAGUGAAGUGUUGAAUAGUAAUAAUCACAGCUGUCUUGUCAAAUUUAAAUUAUGUGAAGUUUUCAGAGAUAUCUAUUUUCCUGUGCCUGCCAUAAGUAAAAUAUUCAAAAAGUUAGUAGAUACUCGGUCCUCUUUUAGACAUUAAUUAAACUAAUAUCAUAAUCCAGCAAGUUAAAAAUGUUUUCUAUUUUGUUUCCAGAACCUAAAGACUUAGAAUCUCAUUCUUUUUAUUGAUGUCCUUUCAACUUAUUUCCAUAACAACAGAAUAAAUGAGACAGAACUCAAGCUCAUUGACAUGACAGCCCCACCCUCAUUCUAAAAGCAGGAAAACUGGGUUUCAACAUUCAGAGUGGAGCAGCAUCUUCCGAACAAUAGAGUCCCUUUCACACCCAGCUGCUUCCCGCACACAGCUGAACAAAGGAAGCUUCCAGACAAAGUGGUACUUUAAAAGGUCCCCUGUGAAGAGCUCAUAAUGUCCCUAUUGUUUGGGUCAUGAUCACCUUUGACAGGGUCCUUAGAACAGAAGGUGCUGUGGGCUCUGGUGUGCCCCACUCUACAUGUGGUAGAUUCAAGCCUUCACCACCUACCCAGAGCUCCUUGGGGCCCACACAGUCCUGCAGACAAGGGCAUCUGACAGCUCUGAAGAGCUGCAGAUGUUUCCAGAUAACAAGCCCGGGAGCUGUGUGAUCAUAACUCCUCAGACGUUGCUUCCUGGUCCAUCCAGACAUGACAAGUCACCACCAGAAGCUCCCACCUCGAGACAGAGCCACUCUGCCAUGCCUUCCAUUCAAUGACGGCCAGAGAUUCGUUUGAAACCGAAGGAGAGUGUCCGGGGUCCUUCCACAUGAAGGCGGUGAGCCCUGCUGCUGCCCACUCUGGGAACAGUGGGACAGCUGCCUCGGCAGCUGCUGGCUGCCCUUCCUUGGCUGCACUUCCUCUCUGUGUCUAGAGGUAAGUGUUACCGUGCCAGCUUGGACUACCCUCAUAGGCAUCUGGAGAGAAACUAUGUAAGCAGGUCUCACCAACCUGGGAGUGUGGACUGAUACUAAUCCGGAGGAGAAUCAAUGUUAGUUGUUCAUUUGCCUUGGACUAGACGCUGUUCAAAGCUCUCUUCUGGUUUACUCAUUUAAUCCUCACGGCACUGCUUCCAAGUGUAAGGAAUCGUGUCCAUAUGUCAAAUGAGGGACAAAGAGACCAGUAAAGUUACCUAAUUCCAGCAGUGCCUGAGCUUGGAGAGCACUAUACCAUGGGUUUGAGCCUGUGGGUAUCCUGAGAGACCUCUAGGCUUUGUAGAGAUUUUUCUGCGUGGCGGACAACCCCCUCCCAACUCAUCUCCUUUCUCUCCUCCCUCCCUCUUCAGUCUCCCAUCUCUUUAGCACAGUGUCCCUCUAAACUCAUCAAAGAGAGCUCAGUGACUUGGAAGGAUGCCAGCUCUGCCAUUUAGUUGAGUGUGGCCUUGGGUGAGUAACUGCACCUCUCUGGGUCACAUUUUCUUAGGAGGAGUGCGCUAAUGGUACCUCUCAGACAGUGCUAUUGGGCUAUUGAAUGGGGCCCAGUGCAAAACGUGCCCUAUGGCCCUAACCUCCUGAGGAGAGUAUUCUUGGGGAUGGAAAUUCGCCCCUGGGAGGCAGUGAAGCUUAGAAAGCAAGAGGCAGAGUCUCAGACACCAGCUCAGGGGGUCAGUCCUGUCUUUCACUGGCUCUGGCCUCAAGCACAAGGCCACAGUGUGCUAUUCUCUCAGUUUGUGCCCCAAGAGAGGAACCUGGCUAGGGUAUGCCUGCCCGAGUGUGUGUGCCGCACGUGUCUUGCUGUAAGCCAGACAGCCUACACUGAGCAGGAGACUCCAUCUUUCUAGGCCUCAGCAGCUCUAGCUCCCGUCAAAAGGCAAUAGGAUGCCCUCUCUGGCCCCAGGCGUAUCUGUAGCUGGUCCUUAGACCUGUGCUAUCUGGCCCCAGGCACUCAGAUGAGUAAGCUAACUGUGAUUCACUAGCUCUUACAAACCAUUUCUGAGACUUCCUGCUUCCUCUAAGUAACCAAGAAAUGAAGACAACACCCAGUUUUUUUUUUUAACACAAGGCGGCCAAUCAGAACUCCAGAUGAAUAGAUGAUAUAACCACAAGCCACCUGCAAUCUAACACCUCCCCUGCCCCUUUUAACACCUGGGAGUAAGUUCUAGCACGUUUCCUCAUCUGCCGUCCCAGUUAGCCAAGAUUCCACGUGGCCAUCCUCGUUCUCAAUGAGGAUGAUUUUAUUCUCUGUCAAAAGAUUCCGAAAAGACCCACCAAAUAUUAAUCAUGAAAGGCACGAAAGGCCGGACCGUCUGCAGGAUCAACACCACACCUCAGUAAGAGCUUAAUCAGUGUGUGCCCCGUUUCUUUUAAGCAGUUAUUACAAGAUCUCCGAAAGCCAGCUUACUCGUUACACCACUAACUCCUUCCCAGCUUCAUGCCACCUUUAACGCCACUUCCCAGCAGUUUGCAGACAAUGGCACAGAGGGUCACCAUUGAGUGAAGUUAAACCUUUAUUUAAGAGCAAGACAGGAGAGAGCUCCAGGGCUCAGAGACUUCUCUUCUGCAUAACCAAACUGUUUCUCCAUUCCCUCUGCCCGUGAUCUGGCUUACAGUCCUCUCCGCCCGCCACUGGCUGCUGGCGCUUGGACACAUGCCAAUGUGCUAGUGUCCUUGUUAAGCAAGCUGUGCACCGACUCUUCUCCUCCAACCCAGAGGUUGGACUUGGCCUUGGGGCUGACAGGGCUGCAGGAUCCACUGCGGUUUCCACAGAAGGAAACCACCCAGAUGGGGCUUUGCCUAUACAGCAAAUCAGGUCAGCACCCAGCACACUAGGAGGGCAGGGUAUACUGAGUUUUGCUCAGUCUCCUGUGGCUUUUGACUGGAGUCCUUUCCCUCACACCCUGCCCACGCCUGUCAGACAAAAGAGUUCAAAUCUGUCAGCUUAAGAUGUCUCAGAAACGUUUGUAACCGUGUCUCCAGUGAAACGUAUGUAUCGGUCCCAAGGACUCACUGGUUGUAAAUAACGAAAGUAACUGAUAACCACUUAUAAGCCCAUCCUCCCUUGGCCUGAAGACCUGUUUUCUCAAAGCUUCGUUUGUUAGGGGAAAACAGACAAGGGAAGUGACUCUGCUCACCAGUACCAGCUUCAGUUCAACUUUUCUAAAUUACUAACAGGAAACUCCAGGGCAGAAUGGCACUCUUUGCUGAAUGUGAUUGCUUAUCUCCGACCCUCUGUUUGUUUCUGACCAGGCUGAGGGAGGGCCUACUUGUUCCCACUCUACAAAGGCACAGCCCCUGUCGGCAUUCUAAGCGUACAAUGGAAAAGGCAGAAAAUCAUCUAGGACAGGAGCUGGUGGUGUGGCUUGACAGGUCAAGGUCCCUACUGUCAAACCUCACAACCUGUGUUCGAUUUCCCAGGACUCGUAUAGCCAAAGGAAAGAACCAAUUCUCACAAGAUGUCGUCUGACCUCCACACUAGAGCCUUGGCAUACACACAAACACACACACACACACACACGCACACGCACAUGCACACGCACACGCACACACACACACACACAAAACAAACAAACGUGGGCAAAGGACACUUCUAGAACAAGCACCAUUGAUAUCCUGGCCAUGACAUAGGCAAAUGGGAGACUUUACUCCUAGCCUCAGUCCUUAGCCAAUUUACAGCCAACAUCCCAUUUUAGCCUCCCCAUCACGGAUAGUCCCAUCUCAGGGGCCUAGCUCCUCACAAAGGACUUGAACAUCUCCUGACUCACCCAGGAACAUCAGCAGCAAAAAGUCAAUGAGAACCCAUGAAGACGUUGUUUUCACAGCCAAGGACCGAAGAGGUGUCCCCAGGGACUGCGACCACCCGAGGCCACUCACUCCAGCAAGGACACAUAUAGAAAUUCCAAACUGGCAGUCCUCAAAACAGCUAUUGUGAGGCUAUGAUGGGAUGCCUAUCGAUCCCGGAAACUGAACCAUCCAGGGAGGGCCUUGGAGCAUGGGUCCUGGGGCUGCACAUCCCCGUGUCCUCUUUAGUGAGUCAAAGUGAUCCCACUGAGUGAACAGGAAUUCAGGUUGGGAUUCCAACUCUGAGUUCUCUAGUCCAGAGGUCCUCAGUUUGGGACUAUUUUCCCUCUGAUGAUAUUUAUCUUUGCCCUAAUUUGGAGCCAGGUAGAAGGCUGGAUGCUCUUUUUGAUAGGUAGAGGCCAGACAUGCUGCUUGGUUCACACAUGGACUGAGUAUGUACCGCAAUGGCUCAGGAAUUGGAGUUGGGUCCCAGAGUGGCAACACUAGGACAUGGUGGGACCUUCAAGAGGCUGAACACAGUGGAAGCUGGAGAGGUCAUUGGGACAUGGCUUUUGGAAAUGAGAUUGAUUUAUUCCCACAGAGAAAGUUGUUAUAAAAAGAAGCACUUGGCCCCUU